CGAGGCUUGGAUUUGAGGGUCUGCUGGCGAUGAGCAGCUCCCUUUAAAGACAUUAGCGGGACGAUAAGGACUCCUUGCGAUCGACGUGAUAAUUAUCUGCGUCCAUAUCCGAGGUCUCCGAAGUCUGCUUCCAACCGUCUUCGGACACGCAUCUUGACCAUUUUGACCUCAAAUCAGGUAGGACUACCCGCUGAACUUAA
rnacentral:misc_RNA from 1 species